GGGUUGUGAGGUUAAGCGACCAAGCGUACACGGUGGAUGCCCUGGCAGUCAGAGGCGAUGAAGGACGUGCUAAUCUGCGAAAAGCGCCGGCAAGGUGAUAU
rnacentral:rRNA from 1 species